UUAAGAUGGUGGUUGGACUGACUGGGGACAAUGGAGCACCUGUUCAGUGACGUGUGGGGACGGUUUAAAGUCUAGAUCACGUACCUGCACAAAUCCGUCACCCUCGCCUCACGGAAAAUAUUGUGACGGAAAUUCCUUAGAAGAUGUUGUCUGCACAAAAAGCAGUUGUAGUCCAAAUAUAGUAUUUAAAGCCAAGAAUAUAACAAACAUAAAUCCUGGCGAUGGACACACUAUAAUAUUAUAUUUGGCUCUACACUUGUUAAUGAAGGAAAUGCUUAUAGUACAUCGACUGGAAUCUUCACUGCGCCUGUCAACGGAACGUACUCAUUUAGUACACAAAUUUGUGCUGCAUACGCAAAAGAAGUCUACGCAGAUAUCAUGAUAGAUGGGACAACAUAUGCUACCUUACUUGUAUAUGAUAAAGAUGAGUUCCCAUGUGAUAGUUCAGAUACGGUUGCUGUUUUACACAAACAUUCAAAAGUAUUUGUUUCAUGCUUUUAUGGUUGUACAAGUAAUAAUAUAUAUGCAGAUUCUUGGCGUAUGAACUCGUUCUCUGGAUAUCUGGUUCACCAAUAAACUUAUCUGUUUUAUCA